rnacentral:lncRNA from 1 species
GGGAGAUAGAGAGAGGCGUGCGAGAUUUGCUAGGGAAGACUGAGUUGAGUUAACCAGCAGGUAGCUCAUCUUAAGACAGAGUAAAGAGAUUCGCCCUGGACUUAGAGGCAUGAAGCUGAGGAGACUUCAUUUGAGCAGAACAGAAGUCAUAUGCCACGAGUCUGUUCAGAGUCAAUCGUCUUCCUGGUCAUGGAGCACACGUGUUGUUUACCUGACAUCCUGAAAAGAGACAGAAGUGAG